UACGUAGGGGGCUAGCGUUGUCCGGAAUCAUUGGGCGUAAAGCGCGUGUAGGCGGCCCGGUAAGUCCGCUGUGAAAGUCGGGGGCUCAACCCUCGGAUGCCGGUGGAUACUGUCGGGCUUGAGUACGGAAGAGGCGAGUGGAAUUCCUGGUGUAGCGGUGAAGUGCGCAGAUAUCAGGAGGAACACCAAUUGCGAAGGCAGCUCGCUGGGACGUUACUGACGCUGAGACGCGAAAGCGUGGGGAGCAAACAGG
rnacentral:rRNA from 1 species